CAAAGAUGGACCAGACCUUCUCAAUGCGAAGAUGUGAGAUUGUGGAUGCAGAUGGAGCAUUGGCCAGCUCUUUUUACAGAGAUACCAGUGUUUGCAGAGUUUGACAGGAUAGUCACCACAGAUCUGCCGACUGCAGAGUAACUUUUAAGGUGCUGUGGAUCGCAACACACCAUUUUUGUCACAAGUCUUCAAGCAUUGGAGAGAAAUUUGAUGAUCUUAUGCAGCAAAUUAAUAACGGGGUUUGUGAUGUUGAUGAAGCCUGGGCACAAGUAUCUGUUGGGGUGCUGACUGUCAUUGACGAAGAAGAAUCUCUCUCUCUCUCUCUCUCUCUCUCUCUCUCUCUCUACCUUUGCCCACUGCCAUCAUUGUUGAGAGAGGUAUUGUAAUAAUCUGCAGAACCUGCCUCAUGCAAUUUGCAUCUAUUUAGGUCUGUCUUGUGCUUUAAAUUUGGAUUACAUUUGGAUUACACAAAAGACAUGAAAAACACUUGGUUUGGGACAGAACAAACUCCAAAACUGCAAUCUCUGGAAAAUCUCUUGUUAAGUAAUGAAAUGUGCAAGAUUAAUGAUGUUUGGCAUUAGAUUAAAUUUGUUUAUGACAUUGGAAAUAGAUUAGUUGAUAGACAAAUAAAAGGGAAACUAAGCCACUUGUUUAAAAUUGUCAGCCCAUUAUUUCAUGGUUAAGGGUUAGUUCACCCAAAAAUGAUAAUUCUGUCAGUAUUU